rnacentral:rRNA from 1 species
GAUGAACGCUGGCGGCGUGCCUAAUACAUGCAAGUCGAGCGAACAGAUGAGGAGCUUGCUCCUCUGACGUUAGCGGCGGACGGGUGAGUAACACGUGGAUAACCUACCUAUAAGACUGGGAUAACUUCGGGAAACCGGAGCUAAUACCGGAUAAUAUAUUGAACCGCAUGGUUCAAUAGUGAAAGACGGUUUUGCUGUCACUUAUAGAUGGAUCCGCGCCGCAUUAGCUAGUUGGUAAGGUAACGGCUUACCAAGGCGACGAUGCGUAGCCGACCUGAGAGGGUGAUCGGCCACACUGGAACUGAGACACGGUCCAGACUCCUACGGGAGGCAGCAGUAGGGAAUCUUCCGCGAGGGGCGAAAGCCUGACGGAGCAACGCCGCGUGAGUGAUGAAGGUCUUCGGAUCGUAAAACUCUGUUAUUAGGGAAGAACAAAUGUGUAAGUAACUAUGCACGUCUUGACGGUACCUAAUCAGAAAGCCACGGCUAACUACGUG